rnacentral:rRNA from 1 species
GAUGAACGCUAGCGGCAGGCUUAAUACAUGCAAGUCGAGGGGCAGCGCAGUGUAGCAAUACAUGGGCGGCGACCGGCAAACGGGUGCGGAACACGUACAGAACCUUCCUUCGAGCGGGGAAUAGCCCAGAGAAAUUUGGAUUAAUACCCCAUAGUAUAUUAGAGUGGCAUCACUUUAAUAUUAAAGAUUUAUCACUUGAAGAUGGCUGUGCGGCUGAUUAGGAGUUGGCGGGGUAACGGCCCACCAAGCCAGCGAUCAGUAACUGGUGUGAGAGCACGACCAGUCACACGGGCACUGAGACACGGGCCCGACUCCUACGGGAGGCAGCAGUAAGGAAUAUUGGUCAAUGGACGCAAGUCUGAACCAGCCAUGCCGCGUGGAGGAUGAAGGUCCUCUGG